UCCCUGAAGGACUAGUGGUUAGGCCUUGGUGCCCUCAACGCCGCAGCCCGAGUUCGUUUCCUGGCCAGGGAA